GGUCUAAUCAAACCAGUGUACCAGUGACACAAGAAAUCAUUGAAAAACUGUGGGAGAAGAGCUGAAACUCUCUAGAAAGUUCAUUAAUGACCAGAAUAGAUUAUAUAAUCUAUAUACAAUCAUGGAGAAUUGAGAUGGGUACUUGAAAAACAAAAACCAACGAAAAAAAACAUAUUCUCCCCACCUCCUCUAAUCCUUUGAAUUUAAAUCAUUCCCAUCAUUGAGGUCAAAGGUGUUUGGGCCACCUGAAGUACAGAAUUAAUUUUCUUCUCCAUUUUCUAUUGAUUUAUUAAUUAUAAAUGUAGUCUUCUGUUUACCUAAGAGACAGGAAUACAAUUGCUAUUUCAAGUCACUUUUACUUUCUAUUUACUUUUUUUUUUUUUAUCAGCACACAAGCAUGUUCUAGUGUCUCUUACCUUUAAAAAAAAAAAUCCACCCUUACUCCUUAGAGCUAUCAGUUGAUUUCUCCCCUCUUCACUGAAAAACUUCUGAAAGAAUUGUGGGCUCAUGAAUUAUCUCCAUUUCUUAUCUUUCCAUUUGUUCUUCAGACUUCUCCACUCUGGCUUCUGCCCACACUGCUCUGCCAAAAGUGCUCUCUCCAAGGUAACCAGUAACCUCUAUGUCGUCCUUUCUGGGGAGCAUUUCUGAGUCCUCAUCUUCCUGGAAUGCUCCUUAGAGGACCAUCUGAGAAUCCUUCUACUGCACACGGAAGAAAAACCAACUCAAACUGUGGCAAACAAAGCAGUCUGCCUUUCCACAGAAAGUCAGAAAAUAGAAAUUCUGACUUUUUCAGCUACACCCAGUUCUUUCUACAAAGAGUAAACAUGAAGACUCCUGUAGCAAAAAAAUGAAGUUUCAACCAGUUUACAGAACUCAGCAAGGUCAGGAUGAACGACGGAAUCACAAAGGACUAAGGAAUUCCACAGGGCCUAGAUUUCCAGGAGAGGUUUUCGCCUGUCUUGAAACUACAGAAGUAAAACCUGAAGUUAUGAUCCAGGCUAUAACUGAGCUGUAUAAUAAAUAAUGAACCUCAGAUUCAAUGAAAUAUAACAGACCUCAUCAUCCAAUACAAAAGCUGUAUUACUGAACACUACUGAAGAAAAGUAAGACCAUUUACUU